CAGAAAAUAGUUUAAUUAAAAUUUUAAUUUUGGAGAUUAAUGAUAGAACAGUAAGUUUUUUUUCUGA
rnacentral:tRNA from 1 species